rnacentral:rRNA from 1 species
CCUACGGGGGGCAGCAGUGGGGAAUAUUGCACAAUGGGCGAAAGCCUGAUGCAGCGACGCCGCGUGAGUGAAGAAGUAUUUCGGUAUGUAAAGCUCUAUCAGCAGGGAAGAAAAUGACGGUACCUGACUAAGAAGCCCCGGCUAACUACGUGCCAGCAGCCGCGGUAAUACGUAGGGGGCAAGCGUUAUCCGGAUUUACUGGGUGUAAAGGGAGCGUAGACGGCGAAGCAAGUCUGAAGUGAAAACCCAGGGCUCAACCCUGGGACUGCUUUGGAAACUGUUUUGCUAGAGUGUCGGAGAGGUAAGUGGAAUUCCUAGUGUAGCGGUGAAAUGCGUAGAUAUUAGGAGGAACACCAGUGGCGAAGGCGGCUUACUGGACGAUAACUGACGUUGAGGCUCGAAAGCGUGGGGAGCAAACAGGAUUAGAUACCCUUGUAGUC